rnacentral:rRNA from 1 species
CGACGCUGGCGGCGUGCCUAAGACAUGCAAGUCGGACGGAAAGGCACCUUCGGGUGUACUCGAGUGGCGCACGGGUGAGUAACGCGUGGGUAAUCUGCCCUCAGGUCUGGGACAACUUCGGGAAACUGGAGCUAAUACCGGAUAAGCCCACGAGCUCUUCGGAGCUCGCGGGAAAAGAUGGCCUCUUCUUGAAAGCUAUCGCCAGGGGAUGAGCCCGCGUCGCAUUAGCUUGUUGGUGAGGUAACGGCUCACCAAGGCUUUGAUGCGUAGCUGGUCUGAGAGGAUGAUCAGCCACACUGGAACUGAGACACGGUCCAGACUCCUACGGGAGGCAGCAGUCGGGAAUUUUGGGCAAUGGGGGCAACCCUGACCCAGCAACGCCGCGUGAGGGAUGAAGGCCUUCGGGUCGUAAACCUCUGUCGGGAGGGAAGAACGUCACGCAGGUGAAUAAUCUGUGGGAUUGACGGUACCUCCAAAGGAAGCACCGGCUAACUCCGUGCCAGCAGCCGCGGUAAU